CAUGCUAGACGAGUUGAUCAUGGCUCAGAACGAACGCUGGCGGCAGGCUUAACACAUGCAAGUCGAGCGCCCCGCAAGGGGAGCGGCAGACGGGUGAGUAACGCGUGGGAAUCUACCCAUCCCUACGGAACAACUCCGGGAAACUGGAGCUAAUACCGUAUACGCCCUUUGGGGGAAAGAUUUAUCGGGGAUGGAUGAGCCCGCGUUGGAUUAGCUAGUUGGUGGGGUAAUGACCUACCAAGGCAACGAUCCAUAGCUGGUCUGAGAGGAUGAUCAGCCACACUGGGACUGAGACACGGCCCAGACUCCUACGGGAGGCAGCAGUGGGGAAUAUUGGACAAUGGGCGCAAGCCUGAUCCAGCCAUGCCGCGUGAGUGAUGACGGCCCUAGGGUUGUAAAGCUCUUUCACCGGUGAAGAUAAUGACGGUAACCGGAGAAGAAGCCCCGGCUAACUUCGUG
rnacentral:rRNA from 1 species